rnacentral:tRNA from 3 species
GGAGGAGUGGCCGAGUGGUUUAAGGCGGCGGUCUUGAAAACCGUUGAAGGUGCAAGCCUUCCGUGGGUUCGAAUCCUACCUCCUCCGCCA